GAAUCAAGUUUAAGACUAGGCUACAGCUUUUCACAAGAGUGAUGACUGACUUGAUUACAAAUCUAUGAAGAAACCUCCUACUGAUCCUUUGCUGGCCCCGGAGAUUCCUCCUUUACUUAUAACUCACUGCUAUUGUGGAAGUGUUUGUAGGUUGUGAUCUGCCCAAUGUGUCACCAACUCCUGCAGCAGAUGAGGAAAGCCACCAACUUGUCCAAAAAGUUUUUAGUUUGUGCUGGUUGUAUAUUUCUUGUGACAGACACAUUUUUGCCCAACAAAGCUGAAACAGCUGAAGGGAUUUAACACAUUAAUUUAGAAUAACAUUGGAUACAUCUUUGCUCAGAUGAGACUAAAUUUUCUAUCUUCAGACACAAAAACAUCCAUACACACAUAGCUAUAGACUUAACACAUAAGCCGUGUUGAUUAAGUCUUCUGCCAGGCUGAACUCUUCACAUAAUGCAGCAGUGUACAGCUAUAAAACACUGCUAUUCAAAUAACUGCUAACCUUCAACCAUGCUCUCAGUUGAUCACAUGAACACACGCACACACAGACUAUACACACACACACACGCACACUGUGGUUUAUUCAUAUCCUUAUUGCACAAUUCUCUGGGUUUGAACGCUGCCAAACAUCACAUCUGCUGCUGCCUCUUGCAGCUCCAAUCUAUUAAAUUAAAAUUCAGACUAAAUCUGUCUGCAGGUCAUCACAGUGUAUGUGGAGUCCGUGGCUUGCAUGAGGAUGUUGGUUUAGGCCUGCUUGUUUGUGCCGUGUCACUGUAAUCUGGCUGCUUGUGUGCGUAAACCCGCAGCAACCUGGACAGCUGCUCUGAGGGUUUAGUGCAGGGGUUAGGGAGUAAUGGAUUUCCUGGAUAUGUGACCGGAUUACAGGGAUCUGUUUACAAAACAGAAAAUGAAUGAGAAAAACAGCUUGUUUUAGUAAAAUAUAACAGCAAUUACAAGUAGGACUACUUUUUUACAGGUACACUAUGUGGUUUUAUGUAGUGCCCAAUAGUAGCCUCCAAACCCCAAAUUUCCCAAUAACUCUGCUUGAUGUUAACCACACACACACACAAAUAAAUAUAAAACAUAUUUAUAUUUAUUAUAUAACAUAUAUAAACGUAGAUAAAGUGCUGCAAUAUUGUAAAUAGAUCAGUUUGGAGCUCUAAUGCGUAUGUUGUUUUCUUUGCUUAAAGAUGAUGUUUCUCUGUGGUUUUCAGUAGUGUGUGAGGCUGCAGGAUUUUAGCUGGGUUCAAGAUUCAAACUAGAUUUAGUAAAUUCACUUACCAAAAUUACAUGAAUUCCUAAUUGGUCCAUAAAGAUUGUGUGGCAGUGAGAAGCACAGACAGCAAACAGUAGCAUAUUUCAGUCUUAAAAAUCCAUGCUGACUUUAGUCACACAACAGAGAAAUGAUAUCUCAAUAACUAAUGUAUGGCACAGCAAUAAAUCUGACAACACCCCCCAUCCCCUGACAUAAGAUAACUUACUUCCCUGUUGUGAAUCCACUUACACAUUGGAAACGUGAUAGUAACAAUGGUAGACAUGAGGUAAUACAUUGGAAGAUUUGAAGAUAUAUGAACUGCUUUGGUCCAACUACUUUUUAAGCAGACUGGACCAAUUAAGAAAAAUGAGCACACUGUUCAUCAUUCUGAGCGACCAGGGCCCCGUCAGACCACGGGUCCUAGUGCGACUGUACUGACUGUACUGCCUAUAUUAAUACCACCGGACACCACUGUCAUGUCCACAGUGCUUUUUCCCGGGAAUAUAGAGGAUUUCAGGGGCAUUCCCCAGAUUUUACACGAAAGUAACUUUAUGGCACAUCAGUCGUAUAAUUACAUAUAAAAUCUGAUUAAAAAAAUCCUGGCUAGUCAAGCUGUAAAUCAAAUUUGUGGCUGUCAGAUUGUGUGAUAAAUGGCUGCUAACUAUAAAUAGAGAAAAAUAGGCAGAGACCAAUCAUCAGCUCACGUCACGUCAUUUCCACCAGUCGUGGCCUUGGAGAAGAAGGCAGCCCAUAAUGCAGAUUUUUUUGGCCGGACCAUUAUGCUUGCUUGAAAGUGUAUUCUGCAUGUCAUAUUCUGACUGGUUGGUUUGUAUGUGUGGGCAGUAGCAGAGGUCACAUUGUGAGAAUUUGGUCCUAAACACUGUCUGAAAAAAAACUCCAGUGAUGUCACCAGGUUAUUUCAGCUUUGCCUUAAAAAUAACAAACAAAUUAACAAAAAGGUUGCACCCACACAAAAUGGGACUUUAAAUGACAUUGCCUAAGGAGGACUUUAUAUUCCACAAAUGCCCUUGACUUUAACCUUCAUUGGAUUCCACAAAUAUGCACAAAUUACACUGGGUGUGCGUUUUUACAGCUGGUUCUGAUACUUUCAAGAUUCUAUUUGUUUAAAUUUGACAAAUUUAAGACUUGGAACAAAAUAUUUUAAAAUAUUUACAUUAAAAGGGAUUUAAUAUUUGACCAACUUUAAAGCAGCCUCAGGGAAAGCUGCGUAAGUAUUUUUGAGAAAUGCGAUAAUGAAAAGUUUGAAUAUCUACCAUUCCAUGACAACUGAGAAAGUCUUCUCAUGAAGACUGUGUGAGAUUGUUGAAAGCUUCAGAACACGCAAGUACAGAGACUUGAGUGGAGCUUGUUGUGUCAAUAUGAAAACAAUAUGAAACAUUGAAAUACUGUAACUGUAGCUGCAUAACUCUAAAACAAAUCCAUUCCAAAGCAGGCUAAUUGGUUUCUGGGCCCUUGUCCCAGGUGGUCUAGUUACACCCAACAGGGGAGGUGUUCUGAUUACGGCAUCUAGUCAACAACAAACCCUCUGCUGUGCUGACAGACAUACACAGAAAUGAGAACCCUGACACUGCAUAGGCCAUAAUGUGCCUACCACAAGUGAUGUAAUGACCAAAAUACCAGAGAUCCAUAGCAAGUAUUACUGUUGUAAUUACUUUUUUUGGUGCCAUGUUUAUCUAUUUGAUAUGAUAUACAGUAUGUAUUGACGGCCCAAAACAGGUUGUUCAUCCUUGGGGUCUGGACUACAUGUUCAGUUGCAUGAUAUGUAAACUGAUAUAUUGAUAUUCAAUAUAUUUUAAAAAUCUAAAUAUUGGUUAGUUGUACUCACACCAUUGCCAUUAGGGUGUAUUAGCAACAUGUUUGUUUUACCUCAGAAUGCAGUAAAGUGGUUUAGAUAAACUGAAUGAACUGAAUGAUGGCUGAAUUCCAUUUAGCGGCUUCUCUUUCAGGGUCCUGGUAUUGUUCAUGGUAAAAAGUGGGUUGACAUUAACUGCCUGAAGCCUGCGACCCAUCGACAUCACCAAACUGUUGCAUUCUUCAUUUGUGAUGCUAUUCCAGGCUUUUACUGCAGCUUCUUUCACUUCUUGUUUGUUUCGGGGGUGUUUCU